GCAUGAAGAGAUCGUGGACACGUUGCCAGUUGCCAGAGAAUGGCUUCAAAGAAAAAUGGAUACUCCAUGAUUUCAGAAAGAAAUUUAUGCAGACAAAGGGCGAGGUGUAAAAACAAUCAAUAAAAGGCGACAUGGCGACCUCUUUCUCCCUUACCAUGGAUCUAUGAUUUCAAAAGAAAAAGGGGACAGAAGGGAAUAGCAAAGAAGCUCUGGAUUUAGUCGGGUUUUUUUUUGACUGCUGGAAACAGUUCUGUGUGGAUGCAACCGAAGAAAAUGAAUAAUUGGGAGACUGGUAAACCUUGUCCUGGUGAUGUAUGGCAAACAUUCCAAGCAAAACAUGAAAUGUGUUGAUGGCCACCUAUGUCACUUUUCAACAAGGUGAGUGUAAAUUAUCGUAAUAU